rnacentral:rRNA from 1 species
UACGGGAGGCAGCAGUGGGGAAUAUUGCACAAUGGGCGCAAGCCUGAUGCAGCCAUGCCGCGUGUAUGAAGAAGGCCUUCGGGUUGUAAAGUACUUUCAGUCGUGAGGAAGGUGUUAAGGUUAAUAACCUUAGCAAUUGACGUUAGCGACAGAAGAAGCACCGGCUAACUCCGUGCCAGCAGCCGCGGUAAUACGGAGGGUGCGAGCGUUAAUCGGAAUUACUGGGCGUAAAGGGCACGCAGGCGGUUAAUUAAGUUGGAUGUGAAAUCCCCGGGCUUAACCUGGGAAUGGCAUUCAAGCUGGUUAGCUAGAGUCUUGUAGAGGGGGUAGAAUUCCGAUGUGUAGCGGUGAAAUGCGUAGAGAUGUGGAGGAAUACCGGUGGCGAAGGCGGCCCCUGGACAAAGACUGACGCUCAUGUGCGAAAGCGUGGGGAGCGAAACAGGGAUUUAGA